CGGAGGAACAUGUGGUUUAAUUCGAUGAUACGCGAGGAACCUUACCUGGGCUUAAAUGUAGAGUGCUAUUUUUUAGAGAUAGAAAUUCCCUUCGGGGCUUUCUGCAAGGUGCUGCAUGGUUGUCGUCAGCUCGUGCCGUGAGGUGUCGGGUUAAGUCCCAUAACGAGCGCAACCCUUAUCGUUAGUUGCCAUCUGGUAAUGCAGGGGACUCUAGCGAAACUGCCACCGUAAGGUGAGAGGAAGGUGGGGAUGACGUCAAAUCAGCACGGCCCUUAUGUCCAGGGCUACACACGUGUUACAAUGGUCGGUACAGAGGGCAGCUACCUGGUGACAGGAUGCUAAUCUCGAAAACCGGUCUCAGUUCGGAUCGAAGUCUGCAACUCGACUUCGUGAAGUCGGAAUCGCUAGUAAUCGUGGAUCAGAAUGUCACGGUGAAUACGUUCCCGGGUCUU
rnacentral:rRNA from 1 species